rnacentral:rRNA from 1 species
GACCCGUCUUGAAACACGGACCAAGGAGUGUACCUAAUAUGCGAGUGUUUGGGUGUUAAACCCAUACGCGUAAUGAAAGUGAACGGAGGUGAGAGCCCUUAAGGGUGCAUCAUCGACCGAUCCUGAUGUCUUCGGAUGGAUUUGAGUAAGAGCAUAUUGGGUGCGACCCGAAAGAUGGUGAUCUAUACGUGAAUAGGGUGAAGCCAGAGGAAACUCUGGUGGAGGCUCGCAGCGGUUCUGACGUGCAAAUCGAUCGUCAAAUUUGCGU